GACGAACGCUGGCGGCGUGCUUAACACAUGCAAGUCGAACGGAAAGGCCCUGCUUUUGUGGGGUGCUCGAGUGGCGAACGGGUGAGUAACACGUGAGUAACCUGCCCUUGACUUUGGGAUAACUUCAGGAAACUGGGGCUAAUACCGGAUAGGAGCUCCUGCUGCAUGGUGGGGGUUGGAAAGUUUCGGCGGUUGGGGAUGGACUCGCGGCUUAUCAGCUUGUUGGUGGGGUAGUGGCUUACCAAGGCUUUGACGGGUAGCCGGCCUGAGAGGGUGACCGGCCACAUUGGGACUGAGAUACGGCCCAGACGCCUACGGGAGGCAGCAGUGGGGAAUAUUGCACAAUGGGCGGAAGCCUGAUGCAGCAACGCCGCGUGCGGGAUGACGGCCUUCGGGUUGUAAACCGCUUUCGCCUGUGACGAAGCGUGAGUGACGGUAAUGGGUAAAGAAGCACCGGCUAACUACGUGCCAGCCGCCGCCGUAAAAC
rnacentral:rRNA from 1 species